rnacentral:rRNA from 1 species
AUAGCGUAUAUUAAAGUUGUUGCAGUUAAAAAGCUCGUCGUUGAACUUCAGACCUGACCGGGCGGUCCGCCUAACGGUGUGUACUGUCUGGCCGGGCCUUACCUCUUGGUGAGCCGGCAUGCCCUUCACUGGGUGUGUCGGGGAACCAGGACCUUUACCUUGAGAAAAUUAGAGUGUUCAAAGCAGGCUUACGCCGGAAUACAUUAGCAUGGAAUAAUAAAAUAGGACGUGCGGUUCUAUUUUGUUGGUUUCUAGAGUCGCCGUAAUGAUUAAUAGGGACAGUUGGGGGCAUUAGUAUUCAGUCGCUAGAGGUGAAAUUCUUGGAUUGACUGAAGACUAACUAUUG